rnacentral:pre_miRNA from 1 species
UGUAACAGCAACUCCAUGUGGAGGUGCUCGCUGGUUCCAGUGGAGUUGCUGUUGCCUG